GCGAAGCCGCGAGGUGGAGCAAACCCCAGAAAUAAACGUCCCAGUUCGGACUGCAGCCUGCAACUCGGCUGCACGAAGCCGGAAUCGCUAGUAAUCGCAGAUCAGCAUGCUGCGGUGAAUACGUUCCCGGGUCUUGUACACACCGCCCGUCACCCCAUGGGAGCCGGGAAUGCCCGAAGUCAGCGGCCCAACCGAAAGGAGGGAGCUGCCGAAGGCAGGCCUGGUGACUGGGGUGAAGUCGUAACAAGGUACC
rnacentral:rRNA from 1 species